ensembl:snoRNA
UGUCCUCAGCCUUACUCCAGGGGCUUUUGCUUGUAAAGCACCUUGGCAUUGCCUGAGGAUAAAUGAGAAAGCACAUCUCCCUCCCCAGCAAGACUGCUUUCUUGUGGGGCCUACAGACUGCGCUGACAGG